GCGUAGGUGGGUAGGUAAGUCAGCGGUGAAAUCCCCGAGCUUAACUUGGGAACUGCCAUUGAUACUAUCUGUCUUGAAUACCUUGGAGGUGAGCGGAAUAUGUCAUGUAGCGGUGAAAUGCUUAGAUAUGACAUAGAACACCAAUUGCGAAGGCAGCUCACUACACGGUCAUUGACACUGAGGCACGAAAGCGUGGGGAUCAAACAGGGUUAGAUACCCUGGUAGUCCACGCCCUAAACGAUGGAUACUCGACAUCAGCGAUACACUGUUGGUGUCUGAGCGAAAGCAUUAAGUAUCCCACCUGGGAAGUACGACCGCAAGGUUGAAACUCAAAGGAAUUGG
rnacentral:rRNA from 1 species